rnacentral:rRNA from 1 species
GUGGGGAAUUUUGGACAAUGGGCGCAAGCCUGAUCCAGCAAUGCCGCGUGCAGGAAGAAGGCCUUCGGGUUGUAAACUGCUUUUGUACGGAACGAAAAGGCUCUGGUUAAUACCUGGGGCUAAUGACGGUACCGUAAGAAUAAGCACCGGCUAACUACGUGCCAGCAGCCGCGGUAAUACAUAGGGUGCGAGCGUUAAUCGGAAUUACUGGGCGUAAAGCGUGCGCAGGCGGUGCUGUAAGACUGGCGUGAAAUCCCCGGGCUCAACCUGGGAAUUGCGCUUGUGACUGCAGUGCUGGAGUACGGCAGAGGGGGAUGGAAUUCCGCGUGUAGCAGUGAAAUGCGUAGAUAUGCGGAGGAACACCGAUGGCGAAGGCAGUCCCCUGGGCCUGUACUGACGCUCAUGCACGAAAGCGUGGGGAGCAAACAGGAUUAGAUACCCGGGUAGUCC